GACGAACGCUGGCGGCGUGCCUAAUACAUGCAAGUAGAACGCACAGUUUAUACCGUAGCUUGCUACACCAUAGACUGUGAGUUGCGAACGGGUGAAUAACGCGUAGGUAACCUGCCUGGUAGCGGGGGAUAACUAUUGGAAACGAUAGCUAAUACCGCAUAAUAUUGAUUAUUGCAUGAUAAUUAAUUGAAAGGUGCAAUUGCACCACUACCAGAUGGACCUGCGUUGUAUUAGCUAGUAGGUGAGGUAACGGCUCACCUAGGCGACGAUACAUAGCCGACCUGAGAGGGUGAUCGGCCACACUGGGACUGAGACACGGCCCAGACUCCUACGGGAGGCAGCCGUAGGGCAUCUUCGGCAAUGGACGCAAGUCUGACCGAGCAACGCCGCGUGAGUGCAGAAGGUUUUCGGAUCGUAAAGCUCUGUUGUAAGAGAAGAACGGGUGUGAGAGUGGAAAGUUCACACUGUGACGGUAUCUUACCAGAAAGGGACGGCUAACUACGUG
rnacentral:rRNA from 1 species